rnacentral:rRNA from 1 species
GCAUGCUCCACGGUGCUCACAACACAGCCACACGCAAGGCGUGACCAGUGUUGUACGUGAGCCCGGAGCUUGCGCCUGCACCAAGAAUUAACAGAGAAAACAGGAUCAGCUCUGCUUGAAGCUGGACAACGCAAGCGUUACCCAGCCGGCGGGUUUGCCGUAGCUCCCCCGCCACAGCCUUGCUUUCACUUCGCCUUCGGGUUUUGUGAGACCCUUAGACUUGCACACAUGCUAUACUCCUUGGCCCGUGUUUCGAGACGUGACCGAUGGUGCUGGACUUAACACCACUCAGACCAACGCCCGGCUGAGAGACCUUGCAUAAUGCAGCUGGGUUCACACCGCCUGGGGUUGACUCUUCCGGCACAGUGGAAGAGUCCGGGCGUCGGUCUGGCCAGAAAGCAGCUCGUCGCAAGAGGAUCAUACCAGGUUUAUCUCGGUCGCCGCCCGACCCAGGACUAGACACGCGUGUGAAUGAUUGCUCACUCGACAACGCAUCGUUGCCAUCGUCCUGGAUUCGCAAUCGGCAGUCUGAGCCUGUGGGUGACCUCACAACGUGCUGUGGUGGGCAAUUACCGCAUAAGACACAAGAGCUCUGAACGUCCAUUCAAAAGGGAUAGUCGGAAGCACUGCAGGCCGAAGCCUGCCCCCCCCGAAGCUGAUCCCCCGCACGACAGCUAAACCUGGCAAACUCAAUGCUACGCCUGAGGAACCAUACUCAUAGGUCUAAGAACACCCCGUAGGAUGAGCAACUGCUGCGGAAGCCUUCCAAGCUCCAUUGGCUUAUACUCUGAGCGGUUUCACGGUCUUU